GGCCAAUGUCGGUGCAGGAGCAGCGGGAAGGAGUAGGGGUCGAGAUGUGUCCUGGAAUAAUGUGCGUAAAGUGGGCGUAGGCGGUCUGUUGGGUCAGGAUGAGAACCUCGUGGCUUAAACCCGAGCUGGCUAUGUAUACGAGCAGACUAGAGGUAUGCAGGGUAGAACGGAAGUCCGGGUGUAGCGGUGAAAUGCGCAGAUAUCAGGAGGAACACCGGGGGCGAAGGCGGUUCGCGGGGCAUUACCUGACGCUGAGGAGCGAAAGUGUGGGGAGCGAACAGGAUUAGAUACCCGUGAGUC
rnacentral:rRNA from 1 species